rnacentral:rRNA from 1 species
GUGGGGAAUAUUCCGCAAUGGACGAAAGUCUGACGGAGCAACGCCGCGUGAGUGAUGAAGGUUUUCGGACUGUAAAGCUCUGUUGUUUAGGACGAAAGUGCCUGUUGCAAAUAGUUACAGGUAUUGACGGUACUGAACGAGGAAGCCACGGCUAACUACGUGCCAGCAGCCGCGGUAAUACGUAGGUGGCAAGCGUUGUCCGGAAUUAUUGGGCGUAAAGAGCAUGUAGGCGGGAAUCUAAGUCUGUUGUGAAAAUGCGGGGCUCAACCCCGUAUUGCGAUGGAAACUGGGUUGCUUGAGUGCAGGAGAGGAAAGGGGAAUUCCCAGUGUAGCGGUGAAAUGCGUAGAUAUUGGGAGGAACACCAGUGGCGAAGGCGCCUUUCUGGACUGUGUCUGACGCUGAGAUGCGAAAGCCAGGGUAGCGAACGGGAUUAGAUACCCCUGUAGUCC